CCGGAAGGAAACAGCAAAGCACCAAUCACAAGCGAGAUCACUAAUGCCAAAGGCCGUCAUUUCCUCCCUCCAUCGGCUGGCCAUGGCGGAGCACGGAGCUGAGUGUCGCUGGCUGGCAUCGCCACACCCAAGCGUGCUCGCUCGGUCUCGUCGCAUCUCCAUCUCCAUCGACGGAGAGGACAGUUAUGCACAUGCAUCUGAAGACCCAAGAUGGCUGUGUGGCGCCGACACAAUCUCCUGACACAACUUACCUGAGUGACACAACUUACCUGACACAACUUACCACAGCCCUGAUAAUUUCUUCUUUAUGGAACAUUGUGAAAGUAGAGACUUGGAGCAAGUCUAACCGACCCCCGCCUUUCCGUACCCGGAAGCAGCAAGCACCAAUCACAGGCUAGAUCACCAACGGCCUCCAUGAGCUGGCCACGUGCACGUUUCUUGUGCCCGGCAUCACCAACAUGCUGGUUCUGUCUGGUCAAAUCUCCAUCGCUGGUCAGGGACAGCUGCCUGCUGACCCGAUGUCACACAACCACGGCCCUCUCCCCCCUGGCUCCCACUCCCAAGGAAACAGUUCAUUACCCAGACCAACAUGGCUGUGCGGCCACUGACAUCACCUCUCCACACAUCCUUCUGACACAGCCUCCUGACACAUCCUUCUGACACAGCCUUCUGACACAGCCUCCUGACAGCCUCCUGACACAGCCUUCUGUCACAUCCUUACAAUCCUCACAGCAACUUGAUAUUUACUUCAAGAUGGAAGAUUGUGUAAGGACCAUACUCUCUACCUGAAGACGUUUGACAAAUGUCUAACAGUUGGGGAGACCUCAUCUCUCCAAAUGGCGACGUGCGAUGGAAAUUUGAAUCAAAGAUGGAUAUUCGAGAAAUCUAAAUUUGAAAACCAACGCGUUCUCAGGAAUUACAGAUAAACCGUCAUUCAUGAACUCAUUCAUCAUUCAGAACAGGCGCCGAAAUUCGCUGUGCAGAGUUGCGUCCCUUGGGCGCACCAGAAACCGAUGAUUGUUUGUUCGAAUCCCGGUUCGCCUUGAUUAUGUCCUAGGUUUGUCAGCACC